rnacentral:tmRNA from 1 species
UUAGCCGCCUUGUGUUAGCCUUGCUGGCUGGCGCGACAUCGCGGCGAAUUUUAAAUAAGUCAGCUAUAGGUGUAGAGCUGCAUGUAGCAGGGGUGAUGGACAGGAGUUCGAUUCUCCUCACCUCCAUUA